AGUGAACGCUGGCGGUAGGCCUAACACAUGCAAGUCGAACGGCAGCACAGUAAGAGCUUGCUCUUACGGGUGGCGAGUGGCGGACGGGUGAGGAAUACAUCGGAAUCUACUUUUUCGCGGGGGAUAACGUAGGGAAACUUACGCUAAUACCGCAUACGACCUACGGGUGAAAGCAGGGGAUCUUCGGACCUUGCGCGAUUGAAUGAGCCGAUGUCGGAUUAGCUAGUUGGCGGGGUAAAGGCCCACCAAGGCGACGAUCCGUAGCUGGUCUGAGAGGAUGAUCAGCCACACUGGAGCUGAGACACGGUCCAGACUCCUACGGGAGGCAGCAGUGGGGAAUAUUGGACAAAGGGCGCAAGCCUGAUCCAGCCAUACCGCGUGGGUGAAGAAGGCCUUCGGGUUGUAAAGCCCUUUUGUUGGGAAAGAAAAGCAGCAGGUUAAUACCCCGCUGUUCUGACGGUACCCAAAGAAUAAGCACCGGCUAACUUCGUG
rnacentral:rRNA from 1 species